UAGUAUAUAUGCACUGCACAUUGAUACACAAGAAUAAAAUUAUUAGAGCCUCCCGGCGAUGUGACGAGUGACUGCGAUGAUACGUGUGUGCGGAGGCCUCCCGGUUGUUCGUCAUUUUUUAUUUAUUUUUUGGACGCAAAUCCGUUUAGCACCGAUGGGGUGUUACCGUUUAAAUAUAACACUAACCGGACAAUCGUUUAAAGAUAAAACCAACCGAUACUAAAUGGCACAUUGAGUACCGAGCAUUUUGACCGGGACUAAAUAGAGUGGUAUUUAGUAUCGAACAAGCAAUACCGGUCAGGCGCUCGGUGCUAAAGAGUGUUACUGACCGAAACUAAAGGUCGAUUCUCCAGUAACGAGAGGAGGAGGACUGCACACACCUUUUCGUCAAAUGUCAGCGGAGCUCAAACUUCUUGUCCUUCAUUAGUUUUGAUUUGAAUUCACUUGCAUCCUCUGAUAGUGUCGAAGCUCUCUGAAUUCUUAAUCCCUCUUGCAAGAACAGAAUUCUUGGAUCAUAAUCCCUUGCAAGAACAGAAUUCUCGGAUCAAAAGUAUGCUUCUCAUGUGCAUCCUCUGGAAUAUAUGGAAAUAUUGAAAUGCAAAAGUUUUCAGACACGAAGAUGAAGCUAACCUACAGCUUGCUAGAAGAUGUCAGGACGAUCUCCUCCUCUGGUCAAAUAGAUGUAGCAGCU
rnacentral:lncRNA from 1 species